UACGGGGGGAGCAAGCGUUGUUCGGAUUUAUUGGGCGUAAAGAGCUCGUAGGUGGUUCGGUAAGUCAGGUGUGAAACCUCCAGGCUCAACCUGGAGACGCCACUUGAUACUGCUGUGACUGGAGUCCGGUAGGGGAGCGUGGAAUUCCUGGUGUAGCGGUGAAAUGCGCAGAUAUCAGGAGGAACACCCGUAGCGAAGGCGGCACUCUGGGCCGGAACUGACGCUGAGGAGCGAAAGCGUGGGGAGCGAACAGG
rnacentral:rRNA from 1 species